UUUAAAAUAACUAUGAGUAAUAAGCUAAGGGCUCUUAAGGAAAAAUUAGACACAUGCAAAAACAGAUGGGUAAUGUAGGAAGAGAAAUGGAAACUCAAACAAUUAAAUUUAUACACGUGCUCAGGAGAGUGACAUAUAUUACAGUGAACAUUUACUUUGGUGGAAACAAUAUAGAAACAUCCAUAUUUGAUGAGAUAGGCCAUUCUUGUAUUUUCUUAGUUAAGGAAAUCAUCCAGAGAUGAAAAUAUUUCAUAAUAUACUUGAAACAUUCAGAAGAGAAAAAUAAUGAAGAAAGUUUCUUCAAAGCAUAAAUGACAAAACUGUUCAUAUGUUAAUAGUUUACAUAUGAAAAUCACUCUUACAGUAGAUCAUAAAAAAUAUAGAAUAAUGAAACUCUUAGUAUUAAAUAUCCCAGAAUUAAAUUAUUUAUUAAAAGCAAAGACAGGAAAUUUAAUCUACCAUUCUCUAAAGAUAUGAAAGUGUUGGCCUCAUAUUGCUUUAGAAAGAAAAAUAUAAUAUUUAUUCAGUGUAUUUUUACAAUUUGAAACAAAAGGUGGGCAAAUUUUACAUUCUCAAUUAUUUUAAUUAUGAAAAGAAACAACAAAAUUAGUCACUUAAGGAAGAAAUAUAAUUGUCCUGAGAGACUGGAGCUAAGUGGUCAAAGCAGAUUGUAAACAAUAAAGGACUUAAUUUUGAGGCUUGGGAUCUUGGUUGGCUUACACAAGGUAUGUUAAAUAUCUGAAAAAAAUGUAUAUUUGUUUUGUUAAAUAAUUUAUUUGUAGAUAAAGAUGUAUGACUCCCCAAGGAGAGCUAUUCUCCUAAAACAUUUAAUACAACAGAAAUUUUAAAGAUCUGGAGAAAGAAGAGUAAAAUUUUACAUUUUAAAUGAAUGUUGGCUUUUAGGAAAUGCUGACUCUAAAAUAAAUUCCUAGGCAAGGCAUGCAAUUUUAAUUUCUGCCUUGAUCUCUAGAAAAAGUAUUCAGCAAAGAUUAGCAAAGUUAACUGUGCUUUCUUUUCUCUACAAGAUGAUUUAAAAAUUCAGUUCUAUGUAAUGCAUCUACUCCAUUUUUACCACACGAAAACAUCUUUUAGAGAUACAUGUCGGGCAAUAACCUAGGGCCCCCAUGCUAUUGUGUGCCGCUUGCUAUUAUGCUAUUUUUGUAUCCACUCUAGAAACAUUGCCUCUGAUACCAAUGAUAGAAUGGGGGAUUUUAGAGUGCCCUAGUUUCAGUUCAGAUGUUCGGUUUUGUACUUGUACUUUUUAAAAUAUGACUUCUCAGCAGUAUGUUACAAUCAACAGACGGGACUCUAUGUAUCCCCUCACUAAGAAAUAACAAGUACCACUUCUCCAUCACCCG
rnacentral:lncRNA from 1 species